UACGAAGGGGGCUAGCGUUGCUCGGAAUUACUGGGCGUAAAGCGCACGUAGGCGGUCUUUUAAGUCGGGGGUGAAAUCCUGGAGCUCAACCCCAGAACUGCCUUCGAUACUGGAAGACUCGAGUCCGGGAGAGGUGAGUGGAACUGCGAGUGUAGAGGUGAAAUUCGUAGAUAUUCGCAAGAACACCAGUGGCGAAGGCGGCUCACUGGCCCGGUACUGACGCUGAGGUGCGAAAGCGUGGGGAGCAAACAGG
rnacentral:rRNA from 1 species